rnacentral:rRNA from 2 species
GGCGGACGGGUGAGUAACACGUGGGCAACCUGCCUAUAAGACUGGGAUAACUUCGGGAAACCGGAGCUAAUACCGGAUACGUUCUUUUCUCGCAUGAGAGAAGAUGGAAAGACGGUUUACGCUGUCACUUAUAGAUGGGCCCGCGGCGCAUUAGCUAGUUGGUGAGGUAAUGGCUCACCAAGGCGACGAUGCGUAGCCGACCUGAGAGGGUGAUCGGCCACACUGGGACUGAGACACGGCCCAGACUCCUACGGGAGGCAGCAGUAGGGAAUCUUCCGCAAUGGACGAAAGUCUGACGGAGCAACGCCGCGUGAACGAAGAAGGCCUUCGGGUCGUAAAGUUCUGUUGUUAGGGAAGAACAAGUACCAGAGUAACUGCUGGUACCUUGACGGUACCUAACCAGAAAGCCACGGCUAACUACGUGCCAGCAGCCGCGGUAAUACGUAGGUGGCAAGCGUUGUCCGGAAUUAUUGGGCGUAAAGCGCGCGCAGGUGGUUCCUUAAGUCUGAUGUGAAAGCCCACGGCUCAACCGUGGAGGGUCAUUGGAAACUGGGGAACUUGAGUGCAGAAGAGGAAAGUGGAAUUCCAA